rnacentral:rRNA from 1 species
AACGAACGCUGGCGGCAGGCCUAACACAUGCAAGUCGAGCGGACCCUUCGGGGUUAGCGGCGGACGGGUGAGUAACGCGUGGGAAUAUGCCCUUCUCUACGGAAUAGUCCUGGGAAACUGGGGGUAAUACCGUAUACGCCCUUUGGGGGAAAGAUUUAUCGGGGAAGGAUUAGCCCGCGUUGGAUUAGGUAGUUGGUGGGGUAAUGGCCUACCAAGCCGACGAUCCAUAGCUGGUUUGAGAGGAUGAUCAGCCACACUGGGACUGAGACACGGCCCAGACUCCUACGGGAAGCAGCAGUGGGGAAUCUUAGACAAGGGGGGCAACCCUGAUCUAGCCAUGCCGCGUGAGUGAUGAAGGCCUUAGGGUUGUAAAGCUCUUUCAGCUGGGAAGAUAAUGACGGUACCAGCAGAAGAAGCCCCGGCUAACUCCGUG